rnacentral:rRNA from 1 species
GGGGAAUCUUGCACAAUGGGGGCAACUCUGAUGCAGCGACGCCGCGUGAGCGAUGAAGCCCUUCGGGGCGUAAAGCUCUUUCGACCGGAACGAUAAUGACGGUACCGGGAGAAGAAGCUGCGGCUAACUACGUGCCAGCAGCCGCGGUAAUACCUAGGCAGCAAGCGUUGUUCGGAGUUACUGGGCGUAAAGAGCGCGUAGGCGGUUUUCUAAGUUCGGUGUGAAAUCUCCCGGCUUAACUGGGAGGGUGCGCCGAAGACUGGGAAGCUGGAGUGUGGGAAAGGCAGGCGGAAUUCCUGGUGUAGCGGUGAAAUGCGUAGAUACCAGGAGGAACACCGGCGGUGUAGACGGCUUGCUAAACCAUAACUGACGCUGAGGCACGAAAGCGUGGGUAGCAAACA